rnacentral:lncRNA from 10 species
AAAUCUCCUCUCCAGAAGCAGAGGGAGCCGGGGCUCCGACGCGCUCAGCGUCGGGCUGUCUGCCUCUCCCUAGAGGCCAAGUGAAUUUGAAAUGGCAAAAGUCACAGCCGGAGGCCCAGCACUAGGAGAUUCCUCCGGCUGCGGGAAAUCUUCCUGUACCUGCUGAAGCUGCUGCGUUCCUCAGAGGCGCUUGGUCUGCCGUGGGAAGCUGCACCUCUGCAGUCCCCAAAACCAAAAUCAAACCUUAAAAGAGCCAGACUGAGAAGCCAGUCACCACGUAAGACAUCUGGACCACCUUCAGACUCGCAUGCUGUGAGGAAGCCCAUGCUUACUAUGUGUAGAGGAUACAUGGAGAAGGAAAGAGAUGCCUGGCCAGCUCCCUGCUGUUUCAGCCAUGUGAGUGAAGAAGGCACCAGACUUGUGAGUGGAGACACUAACUUGGAUGUCCAGCCCAGCUGAACCUUCAGGCAGAGGUGCUGAGCAGCUAAUUGGAGGGGAUAGUAUGAGCCUCCAAAGAUUAGGGAAGAAAAUUGCAGUUGAAGAAAACUUGCUUUGGUUCAAUGCAAAAAUAAUGGGAUGAAUGGCAUGCUGAAAUAUCAUAUGACUUACGAAAAUGAUGAAUGUGAUUCCCAAACUCAAUAAGAGGAGAAAUGAUGACAAGAAGCAAAGGCCGUCUACAGCCCUCACGUUAGGUUUAUUGAAUCUACAUAUGUGGAACCCAUGAAUGGGAGUCGGAGAAGGGGGCAACUGUAUACGCAAAAAGCUAUCAUAAUUGCCAAAAUAGUGAUAACAAUGUUGAAACACUACUGGGAUUACUACUGUUAAUGACUACCAGUGAUCAAGCACCUCCCCUGCCCCAGUGUUUGCCUGCCUUGUUUGAAGACACGAAAAAAUGUACACAAAAUGAUUUAGAACUGUUGAACUUUUCAGAAAAUAAUUUAAAAUCAUCUACCUCAUAACUAAAGGACACUGAAUUGGAGCCAGCUGAUGUAAGGAGCUUACCUUGGUUGCCACCUUCUGGUCUCUGUUUGAGGAACAACUGCAUGUGAUUAAGGGUAACAGAUACAGAAUUUGUGUUAAGCCCAGGAUGUAAUUUGUUGAAUGAGUAGCAAUUGACUUGAAAAUUGGAUGGAUGGGGAUUGUGUUUCUUUACUCUCUCUCUCUUUUCUUUCUCCCUCUCAAUACGGCUAGAUUAAAUCAUCUUUAGUCUAGUCAAAUCAGUGCUUGCUGUU